rnacentral:rRNA from 1 species
AGACCCGAAACCCGGUGAUCUAGCCAUGGGCAGGUUGAAGGUUGGGUAACACUAACUGGAGGACCGAACCGACUAAUGUUGAAAAAUUAGCGGAUGACCUGUGGCUGGGGGUGAAAGGCCAAUCAAACCGGGAGAUAGCUGGUUCUCCCCGAAAGCUAUUUAGGUAGCGCCUCGUGAAUUCAUCUCCGGGGGUAGAGCACUGUUUCGGCUAGGGGGCCAUCCCGGCUUACCAACCCGAUGCAAACUGCGAAUACCGGAGAAUGUUAUCACGGGAGACACACGGCGGGUGCUAACGUCCGUCGUGAAGAGGGAAACAACCCAGACCGCCAGCUAAGGUCCCAAAGUCAUGGUUAAGUGGGAAACGAUGUGGGAAGGCCCAGACAGCCAGGAUGUUGGCUUAGAAGCAGCCAUCAUUUAAAGAAAGCGUAAUAGCUCACUGGUCGAGUCGGCCUGCGCGGAAGAUGUAACGGGGCUAAACCAUGCACCGAAGCUGCGGCAGCGAACGUAUCACCCAAGACAACUUUACGGAGUUGACGAUUGACGGAGCGAAGCGACGUCAAAGCGUUCAUUAAAGUCGAGUUGGCUUAGGGAUACGUUCGUUGGGUAGGGGAGCGUUCUGUAAGCCUGUGAAGGUGUGUCGUGAGGCAUGCUGGAGGUAUCAGAAGUGCGAAUGCUGACAUAAGUAACGAUAAAGCGGGUGAAAAGCCCGCUCGCCGGAAGACCAAGGGUUCCUGUCCAACGUUAAUCGGGGCAGGGUGAGUCGACCCCUAAGGCGAGGCCGAAAGGCGUAGUCGAUGGGAAACGGGUUAAUAUUCCCGUACUUGGUGUUACUGCGAAGGGGGGACGGAGAAGGCUAUGUUGGCCGGGCGACGGUUGUCCCGGUUUAAGCGUGUAGGUGUGUGUUCCAGGUAAAUCCGGUUCACUUUAACACUGAGGCGUGACGACGAGGCACUACGGUGCUGAAGCAACAAAUGCCCUGCUUCCAGGAAAAGCCUCUAAGCAUCAGGUAACAUCAAAUCGUACCCCAAACCGACACAGGUGGUCAGGUAGAGAAUACCAAGGCGCUUGAGAGAACUCGGGUGAAGGAACUAGGCAAAAUGGUGCCGUAACUUCGGGAGAAGGCACGCUGACACGUAGGUGAAGUGAUUUACUCAUGGAGCUGAAGUCAGUCGAAGAUACCAGCUGGCUGCAACUGUUUAUUAAAAACACAGCACUGUGCAAACACGAAAGUGGACGUAUACGGUGUGACGCCUGCCCGGUGCCGGAAGGUUAAUUGAUGGGGUCAGCGCAAGCGAAGCUCCUGAUCGAAGCCCCGGUAAACGGCGGCCGUAACUAUAACGGUCCUAAGGUAGCGAAAUUCCUUGUCGGGUAAGUUCCGACCUGCACGAAUGGCGUAAUGAUGGCCAGGCUGUCUCCACCCGAGACUCAGUGAAAUUGAACUCGCUGUGAAGAUGCAGUGUACCCGCGGCAAGACGGAAAGACCCCGUGAACCUUUACUAUAGCUUGACACUGAACAUUGAGCCUUGAUGUGUAGGAUAGGUGGGAGGCUUUGAAGUGUGGACGCCAGUCUGCAUGGAGCCGACCUUGAAAUACCACCCUUUAAUGUUUGAUGUUCUAACGUGGACCCGUUACCCGGGUUGCGGACAGUGUCUGGUGGGUAGUUUGACUGGGGCGGUCUCCUCCUAAAGAGUAACGGAGGAGCACGAAGGUUGGCUAAUCCUGGUCGGACAUCAGGAGGUUAGUGCAAUGGCAUAAGCCAGCUUGACUGCGAGCGUGACGGCGCGAGCAGGUGCGAAAGCAGGUCAUAGUGAUCCGGUGGUUCUGAAUGGAAGGGCCAUCGCUCAACGGAUAAAAGGUACUCCGGGGAUAACAGGCUGAUACCGCCCAAGAGUUCAUAUCGACGGCGGUGUUUGGCACCUCGAUGUCGGCUCAUCACAUCCUGGGGCUGAAGUAGGUCCCAAGGGUAUGGCUGUUCGCCAUUUAAAGUGGUACGCGAGCUGGGUUUAGAACGUCGUGAGACAGUUCGGUCCCUAUCUGCCGUGGGCGCUGGAGAACUGAGGGGGGCUGCUCCUAGUACGAGAGGACCGGAGUGGACGCAUCACUGGUGUUCGGGUUGUCAUGCCAAUGGCACUGCCCGGUAGCUAAAUGCGGAAGAGAUAAGUGCUGAAAGCAUCUAAGCACGAAACUUGCCCCGA